ACCACCACCACCACCACCACAAUCACAGUGCCGACCAUCACCACGACCACCACAACGACAGUGCCGACCACCACCACCACCACCACAACGACAGUGCCGACCACCACCACCACCACCACCACGACAUGCCGACCACCACCACCACCACCACAACGACAGUGCCGACCACCACCACCACCACCACCACGACAGUGCCGACCACCACCAAAAUGACCACAACCAAAACAACCACAAUGGCCACAACUACCACAACGACUACAACCACAACCACCACAACGACCACAACCACCACGACGACAACCACCACAACGACCACAGUGCCUACCACCACUACCACAACCACAACAACGACAACGACCACAGUGCCUACCACAGACACAACGAUGACCACGGUGACUACUGAGGUCAUAGAGGAGGAGACCACGGUGCCUGAGGUUGUCCGCCAGAGCCCGGCCCCCAGCAAUCCUCUCUUGUACCCCACACUCAUCCCAUCCCUGGUUGUGAUCCCACUGCUGAUUGUCUGCAUCUGCUGCUACAAGAGGGUGAGUGACCCCUUCCCGCCCAGGCUGUUUCCAGUCCCUGAUGCCCCCAAAGGACCAGGCAUGUCUGCCCCGUAACCUUGCCUGUGGGCAGGUUCCCAUCAGCUCCCGGGUCCUCGCACAAGCAAACAAGCACAGAUCUGUCCUCCCAUCCUGGGCACAGACACAGCCUGGGCUUCUAGGGGGCCUCCUGCCUCGUGCUCUCCCAGGGAGGUGGCCUAAGGGCUGUCCCUGUUCCCGGGGAAAAGGGAAUCCAGAUCCCGGGAGACCAGGGCUGCCUCACACAGUGAGGCUUCUGAAGGACUCAGGUGGACAAAGGCUGCAGGAGGCCUCUGCUGUUGGGGGAAGAAGAGGGUCUUCAGGGGGCACCGUGGCCCCAAGGGAGCUGGCUAGAAGGAUGCUAACCUUGGGGGCAGCCUUUGAAAACAGCACGGAUCCCUGUACAACUAGGUGCUCUCAUCAUGCCUUCCUCAGUCAUGGCUAAGUCACCAGCAUGUGCAGGGCUCCAUGCUGGACACACAGGGGCAGAAUGAAGCCACCCUUGCCCACAGGAGCUCACAGUGGGGUCUGGGCUGGUAUUGGCACCUGGGAGGCAUUGAGGGCACAUGUCACCUUUAGAGGGUGUGGCAGUGCCCUGCUAAUCAUAAAGGACAGAGACGGGCCCCUGGGAGGGAGGGAAGGCAGAGGCGCUGGCUGGCUGGCUUGCAAGGACACUUGUCAGAGGACUGGGUGAAGAAGAGGAAAAGCGGGGCUGAGAAGGGAUGAAGCAACCAGCACAGAAGCCAGCAGGUGGGAUUCCUGCAAAGGGGGAGAAGUGAGGAGAGAAAGCCUGGAGAAGGGGGAAGAGGGCUGUCAUCCCUGAGGACUGGCGGGGCGGCCGGGAGGGCUGCAGGGCAAUGGGAGGAAAGGGGCCAGGAGCAGGGGUUGGGGGGUGUUCUCUUGUCUUCACGUGAUGUCAGGGCUGCUGCCGGAAACUCCCAGGUGAGGCCUCUACCAGGGCCCAGGGCCCUUAGUCCACCUGUCUCCCCAUCAAGCCUACAGGGAGGUCCUGAUUCCCCUUUGAUAACUGAGGAGGCUGAGCCUCGGGGAGGUGGAGUCUGUUGCCCACAGACCAUCAGGACAUGGGUUCCCAAAGCCCAUGUUCCAUCCCCCUCCUGCUGCCGAGCAAGUCCCCUUGUCUGCAUGGCUGAGCCCGAGCCCCCCUGCCCCUUCCAGCCUGUGUUUGCGUCUCUUUGACAUUCUAGGUUGUCCAAGAGCCACCACCAGCCCAGAAACCAGAAAGGGUAAGUUCUCUGUUUCGUCCUGCUGUUCUCAGCAUGUGUGAUGCCCACAGUGACCUGCACAGAGAGGGUCCCUGCCGCCUUUGGGGAGGUGUCCUCUCCCUGCCCCUGCAGCUCCCACCUACUUGGGCAGAAAGAAGUGACAGAGGGGCAGGGAAGGGCCCCAGGGAGGACAUGGGAUUCAAAUGUCACGUAGGCAAAGCCAUUCUCGAACUCCCAGCAUAGCCUGAUCCAAGGCCAUCAUCAGUGAAUCAGCAACAUGGGGUAGCCUGUCUCAGAAACAGCUAUGAUCUCUCUUGAAAUGACUGGGCUUUCUGCCAGUUCCCAAGGGACUGCCUGUAGGAUGGUCCUUCCCCAGGACUCGGGUGAGCUUUUAGAAAAGGAUCCUCAGGUGUCAUGGACCAAGUCCCCAUCCCCGGACUCUGGUGUAUGUUUUGCUCCCUUUCCUUGGUCCUCAUCCCCGUCUCAUGUCAGGGCACGGGUCUCGGCAGGGUUGGCCUUUAGGGACAGCGGGGCUGAGGAGGGUGGAGGGAGUCUUCCCUGGCAUUGAGCCGGGAGGGAGGUGCAGCCCAGGUGAGCACAGGGACCAAGGGUCAGGUGAGCAGCUGUGGCCCACCCGGGGUGGCACCCCACACCAGAGGCCAUAAGAGACAGUUAUGGCAGGGGUGCGGUGUCCCAAGGAAGGGGAACCUGGGCCUGAGAGCUUGGGAAAGAGCGUCACUGCCUGGGCUGGUUUCUACUCUGGGUGCUAUGUGGCUUCAGGGAGGCUGGGUCUACCAGAGUUGGGUGAACACAGCCCUGUAGGUGCUAAUGCCCACACCCCUGACGGCCCCCAUCACAUGGCACAGCCUGGAGCCUAGCCUCCCCAGCAAGGGCGGGCUGCGGGAAGCAAGGAGACAGGAUAGGGGUUAUAGGCCUUUGGAGGGGAGUCCUCUUUGUAAACCAAAAGUUGUUGGUGUGUUUUUCACAUGGAGGCCACUCUCUUACUGUGCCGGGUGCUGCUCAUUGGUCCCUGAUUCUCCACCAGACAUUCUGAGUGGCCAGUACUUGGCAGGUGCAGGAGCAACAGAUGUCAUGUGUCUGCACCCAGGAGCUGCCAGACAAGGAAGCAGACAAUUCUUUUUUUCUUUCUUGAAGCCGUGCCCUGUACACAAAUGUACCACAGUGAUUAUCCCCUACUGUGAGUGCGAGGAAGACAGUAUAAGACGGAUGGAGGUGAGAAGGGCCCUUAGGAAGUGAGUGAUGAUCCCUCCAGAUGGGGAUGUGGGAGGAGAGGGGAGCCAGCUCACCCACACAGGCUUGAGUCUGAAAAACUUGGUUUGAACGGAGAUGAGCUUUAUGGACUCUGGACUCCCACCACUUGGUGACAAAGUAAAACCCAAGGCCCUCCCUCCCCUAGAGCCCGGGGAGAACAGUAUGGGUUAGGUCUCAGGUGCCCACUCCUCCAGGCAGUCUGAGCACCAGGGUCUCCCCCUCAGAACAGGCCCUUGAUUCUGGAUGUUGGUGGCUGUUUCAUAGGCAGCCGGGCCUUGGUUCUCACAGAGGUUGUCCUCAGCCCUGGCAAUGUCCUGGGUUUCAUGGGCCAGUGACUGGAUGAGUGAAAAAAAAGAAGGACAUAUGACCACACACAUACCAGGGAGAAAAAAACUUUACAAAGGAAACUUCUGAGCCGAGUCAUGACCAGCAUGAAACUCCCAGGACGUUCCUGGGUGCCUGCUGUCUGUGGAGGAGUCUGUUCAGUGAGGGAAGGAGAGAGCUCCCUGCCCUGUCCCUGUGGUCCCUAAGACUGGGUGACAAGGGCCAUGUGCAGGAGCGGGACGAGGACACUUCCCUCCACCAGGAAGAGCUGGGCCCUCCUGGUGAUGAGAUCCCAGCCCUGCAGAGUGACUGAAGUUGACCAGGACUUAGCCCUGGGUGGCCUGUGGGAAGAAGAACUCACCAGCUUUGCCCAGCUUUGCCUUUGCUCCCUCCUGGGACCAUCAAGUGGCAGCAGGAGGGCCAGCUGCAUAUGUCCCUGACAGUCAGGAUGGGGACCCAUAGAAGCCACUGCACACCUUCUGGAGAGGGAGGACACCGCCUGUGAGGGACGUAUCCCUGCUCACAGGCCUGACUCCAAGCCCCCCGCCCCCCGCCAGGGCGCAGAGGGCCCUGAGCUACAAGGUCCAGCAGCCAUGAAGCAGCACACCCGACCUCGUGCCUGUUCUUCGUUUUCCUUGUCUCUCUUACUCACCCCAAGUACCAGGACCCCUCCCCCUGAGCAGGGCAUAGGUGCUUCUCCCUCUGUGCCCCCCAAAUGCAGGCCCUCCUCCCCUCUUCAAGCUCCUGCCAUCCCCAUGCUCACAUCAGAUCUCUCCCCAAGGACCUCUCCUUGGCACCUGGAUCUCCCCUCCGACCCUUGAACUUUUUGUAGACGUACCCCCUGAUUUCUUCUCUUAAACCGGAAAUACUUACUAGCCCCAGAACCCCAAACACUCUGUGACCCUCAGGGAGCAUGGGCACCAAACACCCAAGGGUGCCAGGUCCCCCUCAGCCCUGGAGGCUGCAGAGCUGUCUCAGGGAAUUGGUGGGGACAGAGCCCUGGAGAACAUGGGAGAUGGAGGGGACACUGUCCCCCUGGAGGCAGCAUCUGUGCCUGUAACUUCCUCACAACCACAUGUGCUUUUCAGGGAAAACUGAACACCUUGUGCGCCUUGGUUCAGCGCUGCAGCCAGAUGCCACUGAUGUGGUAUCAGCCCAGGGACAUGGUAAGCAGGGCAUGGGGAUGCUUCCUGUGGGCCGGGGUCUUGGUUUUGCCCUUGACAGUUGCUCCCUGGGACUGUGGGUCAGAGAACCUGUCAGGGCCUCUGUUGAGAGAAACCUAAGAUGUGGAAAUGUGGGGCCCACGAGCCUGCAGACAAUUCUCUACAUGGCGCCUGUGCAUUUCCCUUUCACAUUAUCACAAGAAUGUUGGGAAGUUUCUGGAGUUUCCCUGGUGGUGCAGUGGGUUAAGGAUCAAGCAUUGCCACAGCUGUGGUGCAGGUCACAGCUGUGGCUCAAAUUCAUUCCCUGGCCUGUGAGCUUCCAUUUGCUGUGGGUACCACAAAAAAAAGGAAAAGAAAAAAA
rnacentral:lncRNA from 1 species